ACAUGCUUCUUUAUAUACCCAUAUGAACUACAUUGUUAUGGAAUGUAAGGAAGUGUGUGG
rnacentral:pre_miRNA from 2 species